UAUUUUAAUAAAAUACAAAACAAGUGAAACUCCAAAAAUCGAUAACAUAGAAAUGUUAUCGAUUUUUUGGAGUUUCACGUGUUUUGUAUUUUACUCUGAGUGUAUAUCCAC